UUGGGGAGUGCGUGAGUUACGUCAGCCUCAGACCGCGAAUGGGCGCUGGCAAGGCGAGACGUACAUUUUCCCUUCUCUUCUUCCAGUCAUUAUUGUGUUUAACGGAAGAAGUUAGCGCAACGGAUGUUUAUCUUAUCAAGUGUCCCAUGUGUUUCAGCAUUUGGAUUAUGCACUGAUUUCACGUUUCUAUAGUGUCGUUGUGAGUGUGUAUGAUGUUUUGGGAGAAUGUUUAUAUGUUGGUUCAUGUGAACAUUAAUUUUAUACAUUCAUUGUUAAUAAUACAUAUGGAGACAACAAUUGACACAAAGAGCGAUAUAUAAACAGUAAUUUUAUUUUAAUUUCCUUAUUUCUUGUUUAAAUGUAUUACACAAUGUUAAACAUAAAUUGUUGUAAUAUGUCAGCCUCAGACCGCGAAUGGACGCUGGCGAGGCAAGACGCACAUUUUCCCUUCUCUUCUUCCAGUCAUUAUUGUGUUUAACGGUAGACGUUAGCGCAACGGAUGUUUCUCUUAUCAA